rnacentral:rRNA from 1 species
GCUUAACACAUGCAAGUCGAGCGGUAAGGCCCUUCGGGGUACACGAGCGGCGAACGGGUGAGUAACACGUGGGUGAUCUGCCUUGCACUUCGGGAUAAGCCUGGGAAACUGGGUCUAAUACCGGAUAUGACCUCGGGAUGCAUGUUUUGGGGUGGAAAGAUUUAUCGGUGCGAGAUGGGCCCGCGGCCUAUCAGCUUGUUGGUGAGGUAACGGCUCACCAAGGCGACGACGGGUAGCCGACCUGAGAGGGUGACCGGCCACACUGGGACUGAGACACGGCCCAGACUCCUACGGGAGGCAGCAGUGGGGAAUAUUGCACAAUGGGCGAAAGCCUGAUGCAGCGACGCCGCGUGCGGGAUGACGGCCUUCGGGUUGUAAACCGCUUUUGACAGGGACGAAGCGCAAGUGACUGUACCUGUAGAAUAAGGACCGGCCAACUACGUGCCAGCAGCCGCGGUAAUACGUAGGGUCCGAGCGUUGUCCGGAAUUACUGGGCGUAAAGAGCUUGUAGGCGGUUCGUCGCGUCGUUUGUGAAAACUUGGGGCUCAACCUUAAGCUUGCAGGCGAUACGGGCGGACUAGAGUACUUCAGGGGAGACUGGAAUUC